GGGUUGUGAGGUUAAGCGACUAAGCGUACACGGUGGAUGCCCUGGCAGUCAGAGGCGAUGAAGGACGUGCUAAUCUGCGAAAAGCGUCGGUAAGGUGAUAUGAACCGUUAUAGCCGGCGAUGUCCGAAUGGGGAAACCCAGUGCAAUUCGUUGCACUAUCGUUAACUGAAUACAUAGGUUAACGAGGCGAACCGGGGGAACUGAAACAUCUAAGUACCCCGAGGAAAAGAAAUCAACCGAGAUUCCCCCAGUAGCGGCGAGCGAACGGGGAGCAGCCCGGAGUCUGAAUCAGCUUGUGUGUUAGUGGAAGCGUCUGGAAAGUCGCAGGGUACAGGGUGAUACUCCCGUACACUAAAACACACAGGUUGUGAACUCGAAGAGUAGGGCGGGACACGUGGUAUCCUGUCUGAAUAUGGGGGGACCAUCCUCCAAGGCUAAAUACUCCUGACUGACCGAUAGUGAACCAGUACCGUGAGGGAAAGGCGAAAAGAACCCCGGCGAGGGGAGUGAAAAAGAACCUGAAACCGUGUACGUACAAGCAGUAGGAGCCCACUUGUUGGGUGACUGCGUACCUUUUGUAUAAUGGGUCAGCGACUUAUAUUCUGUAGCAAGGUUAACCGUAUAGGGGAGCCGCAGGGAAACCGAGUCUUAACUGGGCGUUAAGUUGCAGGGUAUAGACCCGAAACCCGGUGAUCUAGCCAUGGGCAGGUUGAAGGUUGGGUAACACUAACUGGAGGACCGAACCGACUAAUGUUGAAAAAUUAGCGGAUGACUUGUGGCUGGGGGUGAAAGGCCAAUCAAACCGGGAGAUAGCUGGUUCUCCCCGAAAGCUAUUUAGGUAGCGCCUCGUGAACUCAUCUUCGGGGGUAGAGCACUGUUUCGGCUAGGGGGUCAUCCCGACUUACCAACCCGAUGCAAACUACGAAUACCGAAGAAUGUUAUCACGGGAGACACACGGCGGGUGCUAACGUCCGUCGUGAAGAGGGAAACAACCCAGACCGCCAGCUAAGGUCCCAAAGUCAUGGUUAAGUGGGAAACGAUGUGGGAAGGCCCAGACAGCCAGGAUGUUGGCUUAGAAGCAGCCAUCAUUUAAAGAAAGCGUAAUAGCUCACUGGUCGAGUCGGCCUGCGCGGAAGAUGUAACGGGGCUAAACCAUGCACCGAAGCUGCGGCAGCGACGCUUAUGCGUUGUUGGGUAGGGGAGCGUUCUGUAAGCCGUUGAAGGUGGCCUGUGAGGGUUGCUGGAGGUAUCAGAAGUGCGAAUGCUGACAUAAGUAACGAUAAUGCGGGUGAAAAACCCGCACGCCGGAAGACCAAGGGUUCCUGUCCAACGUUAAUCGGGGCAGGGUGAGUCGACCCCUAAGGCGAGGCCGAAAGGCGUAGUCGAUGGGAAACAGGUUAAUAUUCCUGUACUCGGUGUUACUGCGAAGGGGGGACGGAGAAGGCUAUGUUGGCCGGGCGACGGUUGUCCCGGUUUAAGCAUGUAGGCGGAUGUUCCAGGUAAAUCCGGAACGUUAUUAACGCUGAGGUGUGAUGACGAGGCACUACGGUGCUGAAGUGACAAAUGCCCUGCUUCCAGGAAAAGCCUCUAAGCAUCAGGUAACAUCAAAUCGUACCCCAAACCGACACAGGUGGUCAGGUAGAGAAUACCAAGGCGCUUGAGAGAACUCGGGUGAAGGAACUAGGCAAAAUGGUGCCGUAACUUCGGGAGAAGGCACGCUGAUGGUAAGUGAAGUGACUUGCUCAUGGAGCUGAAAUCAGUCGAAGAUACCAGCUGGCUGCAACUGUUUAUUAAAAACACAGCACUGUGCAAACACGAAAGUGGACGUAUACGGUGUGACGCCUGCCCGGUGCCGGAAGGUUAAUUGAUGGGGUUAUCCGUAAGGAGAAGCUCUUGAUCGAAGCCCCGGUAAACGGCGGCCGUAACUAUAACGGUCCUAAGGUAGCGAAAUUCCUUGUCGGGUAAGUUCCGACCUGCACGAAUGGCGUAAUGAUGGCCAGGCUGUCUCCACCCGAGACUCAGUGAAAUUGAACUCGCUGUGAAGAUGCAGUGUACCCGCGGCAAGACGGAAAGACCCCGUGAACCUUUACUAUAGCUUGACACUGAACACUGGUCCUUGAUGUGUAGGAUAGGUGGGAGGCUUUGAAGUGUGGACGCCAGUCUGCAUGGAGCCAUCCUUGAAAUACCACCCUUUAAUGGCUGGUGUUCUAACGUGGGCCCCUAAUCGGGGUUGCGGACAGUGUCUGGUGGGUAGUUUGACUGGGGCGGUCUCCUCCUAAAGAGUAACGGAGGAGCACGAAGGUCAGCUAAUCCUGGUCGGACAUCAGGAGGUUAGUGCAAUGGCAUAAGCUGGCUUGACUGCGAGCGUGACGGCGCGAGCAGGUGCGAAAGCAGGUCAUAGUGAUCCGGUGGUUCUGAAUGGAAGGGCCAUCGCUCAACGGAUAAAAGGUACUCCGGGGAUAACAGGCUGAUACCGCCCAAGAGUUCAUAUCGACGGCGGUGUUUGGCACCUCGAUGUCGGCUCAUCACAUCCUGGGGCUGAAGUAGGUCCCAAGGGUAUGGCUGUUCGCCAUUUAAAGUGGUACGCGAGCUGGGUUUAGAACGUCGUGAGACAGUUCGGUCCCUAUCUGCCGUGGGCGCUGGAGAAUUGAGGGGGGCUGCUCCUAGUACGAGAGGACCGGAGUGGACGCAUCACUGGUGUUCGGGUUGUCAUGCCAAUGGCAUUGCCCGGUAGCUAAAUGCGGAAGAGAUAAGUGCUGAAAGCAUCUAAGCACGAAACUUGCCCCGAGAUGAGUUCUCCCUGACUCCUUGAGAGUCCUGAAGGAACGUUGAAGACGACGACGUUGAUAGGCCGGGUGUGUAAGCGCAGCGAUGCGUUGAGCUAACCGGUACUAAUGAACCGUGAGGCUUAACCUUACAACGCCGAAG
rnacentral:rRNA from 1 species